AACGAACGCUGGCGGCAUGCCUAACACAUGCAAGUCGAACGAGAUCUUCGGGUCUAGUGGCGCACGGGUGCGUAACGCGUGGGAAUCUGCCCUUUGGUUCGGAAUAACAGUUGGAAACGACUGCUAAUACCGGAUGAUGACGAAAGUCCAAAGAUUUAUCGCCAGAGGAUGAGCCCGCGUAGGAUUAGCUAGUUGGUGAGGUAAAGGCGCACCAAGGCGACGAUCCUUAGCUGGUCUGAGAGGAUGAUCAGCCACACUGGGACUGAGACACGGCCAAGACUCCUACGGGAGGCAGCAGUGGGGAAUAUUGGACAAUGGGCGAAAGCCUGAUCCAGCAAUGCCGCGUGAGUGAUGAAGGCCUUAGGGUUGUAAAGCUCUUUUACCCGGGAUGAUAAUGACAGUACCGGGAGAAUAAGCUCCGGCUAACUCCGUGCCAGCCGCCGCAGUAA
rnacentral:rRNA from 1 species